ACGAGGAAAUCUUAGCGAGGAAGCGGGCGUUUUGAAAACCAUAUAUAUUCUUUGCAGAACCCACGGCUUUUUGAAACUGCCGCAAGGAAAUUCGCACUUCGCACCACACUUUAAACAGUUCCGCUCUUCUAUUGGCUACCGUACGGUCAGCUCAGACCCGGUUCGGAUCCAACUGCGUCACUUGAAAUCAUAGCCAUUACCUGAGACGUCGUGGAAAGGAAUUACAAAGUAGCUAUUUAUUGUCAAUCUUGAAUUUUAGUGGCACAAGGUGUGAUGAGUAGUUGUAUUAUGUUCGAAACACGCCAUACAAGUGGAUUGGUCCUGGAUAACUAUUUUUAAGAAAAGUGCAGCAAUAUCACUCAUCGAUUGUGUGAUUGUGACAGUGUUGUCAACUGUAAGCAGCUUUAGUUUGCCUAGUGAGAGUUGCAAAGCUUUGUAUGGCCAAAGAUAUUAAGUUUAGAAGAUUGUUUUGUAUCUGAUAUUCCAUUUGUUAUAGUCGUGCUUCGACCUGCUGAGUUCUAUAGGCCCUUGCAGUUUUAAAAUGAGGAUACAUGAUGUCAAACAUAAUCAUUAAAUCUUUAUUAAUGGUUUGAUUUCUGUUGUUUGAACUGACGUGUAACCGAAUAUUUUGAAUGCUUGGUUUAGAUCUUUUAGGGAGAUCCGUAAGAGUUAUUCUUUUUAGGGAGAUAUUAUGAAUGUGUAACCUGAUUGAAAUGACUGUGCUUGUUUCA